GGGGAGAUAGCUCAAUGGUAGAGCACUUGAUAUUAAAGUAGUUUUUUAAUUCAUAUCCAUAGAAUAUAAAUUACUUACAAUAACAAUACAUCUUUUUGGUCUUAUAAACCAGAGGUUGUUGGUUCGAAUCCAACUCUCCCCA
rnacentral:tRNA from 1 species